AACGAACGCUGGCGGCAUGCUUAACACAUGCAAGUCGAACGGGAUCCAGGUUUCGGCCUGGUGAGAGUGGCGGACGGGUGAGUAACGCGUGGGAACCUGCCCAGUGGUGCGGAAUAACUGCGGGAAACUGCAGCUAAUACCGCAUGUGCCCGAGAGGGGAAAGAUUUAUCGCCAUUAGAGGGGCCCGCGUCCGAUUAGGUAGUUGGUGAGGUAACGGCUCACCAAGCCUGCGAUCGGUAGCUGGUCUGAGAGGAUGAUCAGCCACACUGGGACUGAGAUACGGCCCAGACUCCUACGGGAGGCAGCAGUGGGGAAUAUUGGACAAUGGGGGCAACCCUGAUCCAGCAAUGCCGCGUGAGUGAUGAAGGCCUUAGGGUUGUAAAGCUCUUUUGCCAGGGACGAUGAUGACGGUACCUGGAGAAUAAGCCCCGGCUAACUUCGUGCCAGCCGCCGCAGUAAGAC
rnacentral:rRNA from 1 species